GAAUAUUUUGUUCCUGUUGUUGUUUUAUCGGAAUCAUGUGUAGUGUAGUAAUUUGAAGGCGAAAAACUGAUUGCAAAAAGGCCGGAAUCUUCCUUGCUUUAAAACUCAUAGUUCUGAUUUAAAAGUGUUUAUAUUUGAUGCCAGAAUCAUUGCUCUAAGGGCUAUAGAACAGAAGUUAUGAGAAUUUUGAAUUUCAAGAUCGAAGCCGUUCAAUCAAGUUGUAAACCAUUGAAAGGUGGAAUAGACAGUGAAAUCAUUUCGUUAUGAAUUAACUGAAGUGUGCCCAGAGGAUGAUAUCAAGUAAUUUUCGUCACAAAUGAGUCAAUGACGACUCGACCAGAUGCAAGUGUUAAAAAUCGUGGAUCGAUCUCUGUGGAUGACAAUGCUCGGAAGAGGAGGAAAUGUUGCUGACGCCAUCAUGAGUUGUAAAUUCCUUCUUUUGAAGAAAGCAGAGUAUGUAAAAGAUUGUCGAAAGGUGAAGAUCUGCCAAAACCCACCAUCUUCGACCAACUGCCUGGCGUUGGAGUCAUUUAAAGGUGGACUUUCGAAUGGAAAUAAUCCCAGAAAGUUUUUAUUAAAAGUACACCAUUAUGCUUCAACUUAAAAUACAAUACUCCAAUUUGAUUAGGCUCCACUGGCCAGGUUCGGCAAAUGGUUUCAACACGAGAUCAUGAGAUUCGUUCGAGUAUGCUUUUUUCUUUGAUGCCUAGACUUCGUUAGCAUUGAUGUAGAUUGCUGCAUAGUAAAUUUGUCACGUGGAAUAAAAUGUGCCAGUCAAUCCCUGCAACAUGAUACAUAAAGAAGCAUUGAAACAAAGGAGCACCACACGUACGUUCCAUAAAGUGAUAGAAAUGCAGAUGCAUGUAUGGCUAUUAAAGCUCCAAGGGAACACUCUCCAUUUUGAAUCGUUAUACCCCUCCCUUUGCUCCCACAUUUCAAUUUCUCCCGACGCCCCCGGGUGGGUACGUGUCAUCUGCUGUAGAUAUAUUCUGCAACUUUUAUACUGCCUCCUGUUUCUUUGAAUGCGUCUAUCCACAUGAUUCCGACUAAGGUGUCAGUACAAGAAUUCUGUCUUGGAAGAUUGCUGAAUUUAAAAUAAGUCUUACUCAAAGAUUGGAUUUUAAUUUAUGUUUGCUGCGCUGUCUGUCAUAAUCACAUAAUUUGUUCUUGCAAAUAUUGUAAAUUUUAAAUCGUUUCCAAUUUAGUUAAAAAUUUUAUUUAUAGGGUAAUCCCCUCUCCCUUGCCUGACAGCAUCAUUAGCCGAGCAAAUGCUGCGAUAAAGGUGAAGAGCGUGUUGCUGUCAACCCCCUAGUGCACCCCUAGAUCCAGAAAGGCACCUUUUAUCAACAUGAAUACAUUCCUUUUAUAAAUUUCAAAAAAUUUUCCACGACAUUGGGUAUUCAAAGCUUCUUAAAUUUUCAUUUUUUUGGCGGUGGAUGGAAAACAUCAAAACUGUGAAUUGACUUUUAUUCAAUUUUCUGUGCAAAAGUCGAUUAAUAGCAUUCCACGUUAUACGCUGAUAUACUAGCUGAGAUUUAAGGAUUUUCACAAACUGAAGCAGUGCAUAUAAUCGUCUUUUUUAACAGUACAUGGCAAGAUUUUUUCCCAAUAUAAAUAUUACAGCAGAUUGUAAAAUCUAGAUUAGUUGGAAUUUAUCAGCCAGCACUGGGAGUUCAGUUUAAAAAAGGUGUCUAAUUCUGCAAAAACUCCCCAAUGUUGACGCAGCAAGAAGCCAGGAGCUCAUAGGAAAUAUCGAGCGGAGACACAACACACUCAAAAACAUGAAUAAUAUGAUUAUAGAGAUGGAAGCCCGUAUCUUAUAUGAAAGGUGCUUUCAUUUCAAGAUUGCUAUUGUAAAAAAAACAAGGUACUACACGUUUUUUUUAUAAGAAAGCAUUUCACAAGAAAGUUGUGUUCGGUUCUUCAAAACGUUAAGAAAGGGCUGAAUCUUUGAAACCUAAGAAAGUUGACAAAUUUAGAUAUUCAAAGUUUCAAAGGAAAUUGCUGUGCAAGAGUGAAAUAUUUCAACAAACAGUAAUGUGCUGAACAGGAAACGACGAAUACAGUAUGACGUUGAGGGUUUUUGAGAAAAAUAGCAUAUUUAUAGCAUUUCAUCUUUUCCAUCACUGCGCAUGCCUAGUAGCGUAAAAGUUUCCAAUUUUACGUUAAGAAAGUGUUCAGUAAGUUUUAGUGCUGAAAUAAGGAAAAAGCUAAGAAAGUCUGAGGGGUAGGCUGAAAAAAACUUUCUUUUAAAAAUACGUGUACGGCUAUUGUCAAAAAAAAACAAGGCACUACAGAAAUUUUCCCCAGUUGAAGGAAGUUAUGGGAAAUUGGACAAUUUUCGAUAAAGAUCCCAUCACUGUGUUGUCAAUUUUUAAAGACAGAAUUGCUUGAUAUUUUUAUUGUUAUCAUGAUUGAGUUAUUUGAUGUUCGCAUACUGGAAUCCCGAAGUAGUUUUAAGACAUACUUUAACGCUCCCUUUUCCCUACCUAGGUAAUUGAGCUGUUCCACCAACCCUUCCUUACUGUAAGAAAAUCAAAGGUAAAUGCGAGAAUCUGCAAGCAUUAAGAUUCCAUAUUUAGCUAAGAAUUACUUUCAAAAAAAGAAAUAAGCCUUCCAAAAGAUGUUUUCUAGAUAAACGUCUUGCCAAUUAAAUUGUAACCGAAAUUCAGCAUUGCUCAAAAAACAAGCGUUAUCUUCCAAUAACGCUCAGGAUACAAGCUUCCAAACAAUCAUUCGACGAUUUAAAUCAUUGGGAGUCAUAUUCUGCUUUAAAGAAACCUUCUCAUUUUGUCACAAAA